rnacentral:rRNA from 1 species
GACGAACGCUGGCGGCGUGCUUAACACAUGCAAGUCGAACGGAAAGGCCCUGCUUUUGUGGGGUGCUCGAGUGGCGAACGGGUGAGUAACACGUGAGUAACCUGCCCUUGACUUUGGGAUAACUUCAGGAAACUGGGGCUAAUACCGGAUAGGAGCUCCUGCUCCAUGGUGGGGGUUGGAAAGUUUCGGCGGUUGGGGAUGGACUCGCGGCUUAUCAGCUUGUUGGUGGGGUAGUGGCUUACCAAGGCUUUGACGGGUCGCCGGCCUGUGAGGGUGACCGGGCACAUGGGGACUGCGAUACGGCCCAGACUGCAACGGGAGGCAGCAGGGGGGAAUAUUACACAGUGGGCGGAAGCCUGAUGAAGCAACGCCGCGUGCGGGAUGACGGCCUUCGGGGUGUAAACCGCUUUCGCCUGUGACGAAGCGUUAGUGACGGUAAUGAGUAAAGAAGCACCGGCUAACUACGUG